UCGUUCACUUUGACGAUUGUAGUUACAAAUGUAAUAAAUACGGUUAAACGUGUUAAUUAUAAAUGGUAACACCCUCAAAGUUUCGAUAGAAAUAAUAGUAAAUGUUAUUAUUUUGCAUAAAUUUUAUUUGGAAAGAUAAUGUUUGAACAGACAAAGGUUUCAGAGGUGCACGUGGAGGUCCAGGAUUGAUGCUCGUUAACAGAGUCAUUGCUGGUUUCAUGGUCUCUACCCAGGUUCCUGUAACAUAAUUACAACAUUAACGAUUAAAAGAAGGGAGUAUGGUGCUAAAUAUAGAAUAUGUUUGUAAAAUUAUUAUUUGUAUUUCUAAAUUUCUAUACUUCUUUUCAGCCGAAGUUAUAUAUUUUGCAAUAAAUAAGACUUACUCUUUUGUAAAGUAAUAUGUAACAAAUUUAAGGAAAAUUAUUCGAUGAUUUGAAUGGAAUUGAACGGAAUGGAAUUCCUGAAAUUCAGUAUUGCCACCUCGUUUCGAUCGAAAUAGGUUUUACAUAAUUUUUUCAUAAAAUAGGGAAUAAGAUAAAGGAAUAGCUUAUAAUUAAACUACAAGAAAAAGUAAAAUAAAACCAAGUCAAAGUGUACUAUUUUAAAAGAAAAUACCAAAGAAAGCUUCAAGCUUGUAGAGUGCUAAAAAGUAGAUUUUCUAAAAAGGCUUAAUUUGAGUCGCGUUAGCUCAAAUUAAAUCGGAUACAAAGAGAAUUGGAUCGUUAUUUUUAUCGAACCUUGUUAAAUCAAGUUUGUGACAAGAUGGAAUUGGAUGUACAGUGAUUUUUACUACAUGUAUAUGAUACAUAAUUGGAUUUAUGCAUUUGGUAAUAUUUUUAGACGAAAGAAACAUUUAAUUAUAAUUUUACCAUAUUUCGAUACGUUCAUCACAGCGUUUGUCAAACGUUGUUGCGUUUCUUUUCCUUUCACGACGUUUCCUGCAAGACCGGCUGCAAGAGUUUCGAGUACAAUUUCGGAGAACAUAUUUGAACCUGUUGUUAUAAAAGAAUUCAUUCCUAAUGCACAAGCAGCGGUUAUCAACUGAAAUGAACACAAUAAUAGUAUCUUUAUGAGUUUCUUACUAUAUAUUUUUAUAUCGAUUUUUGAAAUUUUAACUCUUAAACCAAUCGCUUGCAUCUAAUUUGUAGAAUUCGACAAGCGAAACGCGUUAAGAUUCUUAGGAUCGAUUAGAACGAGCUAACGUGAUACGAUUUAGAUCAAAGAUUUAUAUAUACCUAAAUAUCUUAAAGGUACCUACGUGUUUUACAUAAAAUGUAACUAAAAUCAAUUUCAUAGAAAUGUGAGUAACAUAAUGUGCCAGUUUGUAAAAUGCUUUUUACAUUAACGAGUAAUAGUUUAUAAGUUUAAGAUAAGUUGGAAAUAAUUUCAAAAGUUGGUAAAUGAUAACGUUAUUAAACAAACGUACACAACAUAUACGUGAAUAUACGGAAAGAAUUAAUAUGUUACUAAUAUGCGUAUACUAA